UAUAAACGCAGAGUCGGAUGCAUGGAUCACUCAUCUUCUAGCAUCUGCAGCUUCAGCCACAGAACGACCCAACCCACAAAAAAACCAAAAUGAAGACCUACGUUGCAGUUCUCCUUGUUGUCGUGGCCAUGCUCGGCCUAGCUGCUGCCGCUGGCGGCUACGGAGGAUACGGCGGAUACGGGGGAUACGGCGGAUACAGGGGUGGAUACGGGG